UCUUAUUAAAGGUGGGGGAUUGGAAUAAUUCAAAUAAAAGUAAAAGGUUAUUUGUGAAUAAAAAGAGAGAAUCGAGGGUUCAAUGUUGUAAAUUGGUUUCUAAAAUGAAUUCAUACGUUUCUUUAUGUAUCCUUCUGAUCAAACGCUUUCAUGCCAAAAUUACCGUCACAAUAAAUAACGAUGCUUCGUUGUUUAUAACCGUCAGACCAAAAGAAUUACCAUUAAAGGUUAGGCAUACGUUUUUGGGCAUUAACCUAACAAUAUCUAAUCUCUCUAACUGGGUUUGUACCAUCACCCUUGUUUUUUUUUGGUGCCACAAGUUGAAAAGGAAAAUAAAAUUACAGGAAACGGGGGAAAGUUUAAUCGAGCUUGUGAAACUCCCUGAUAGUAAAGCCGAAGAGAGAACAAGGUUCGGUCAUCUUUUCCACUGAGUGCAUCGAAGUAUAGAGAGAAUACAAGGAGAGAAUAAGAUCAUGAUAAAAGUUGUAGAGGACGUCGAUAUUAGAGUUAGAGAGAGUCGGAAAGAUGGUCGUUUCCUUCUCGAUCACCAGUGGCAUAAGCUCUGAUCAAGUACCAUUUAAGAUAUCGGCGAAUUGGAGGUUCAAAAGGAAUGGCAGUGGCAUGGUGGUGGGGUCAAAGAAGGAUGUGUAAGUUCUUCUAUGCAGUCUUCUAAUGACGGGCUUGGGUUACAAGAUGCUUUCCGACAAGAAACUCCACGGGCUGUGCAAAUAAUGCAUGGAUGAGGGAAACAUACAUGAAAUCAGUUAGAAUCCACGAUGAAGGUGACGUACGGGAUUGCAAGGGUUAAAGAAUGAUCCUUUUGCUCAGGUAUUUUACUUUGUUGUUUUGUGCUCGUUUUCUGACCGGGCUUCUGUGCAACUGUAUUGAUGGUGUCUCAUUUGGUUGAUGGAUUGUUGGCCUUCUACUGCUCGUUGCUCAUUAUUCUUGGACUGCUCGUUGUUCUUGGACUAGAGGUAGUUUAACAUGAUGCUUUGGUGAGGAUGGGAGCUUUUGGAUAGUCUUAGUUAGUAUCUUUAGUUAUGAUACCAUUUGGACAUGUUGAGUUUCAUCAUUAUGUUUUUGUGAACUUUAAAUUUGGAUGGGUUUGUUUUGACAUGAAAAUAACUUUGAUGGUGUUUUUGAAAUAAACCUAAUAAGUCUUCCGCAACAUAUUCUGAUAAAUAAAUGUUCUUAAACAUCAAAAAAAAAAUUAGGUGAAAAAUCAUGAUGUUACACUUCAUGUCUACCACAUAGUCUCCUACGGAAAGUUCGAGUAAAUAUUCUGAAGGCUUAACAACAGACGAUCGAAG